rnacentral:tRNA from 1 species
CCUAGUGCCAGAAAAGAGAGAUUUUAACUCCCACCCCUAACUCCCAAAGCUAGGAUUCUAAACUAAACUAUUUUCUG